AUCACCUGAGGUCAGGAGUUUGAGACCAGCCUGGCCAACGUGAGGAAAUCCCGUAUCUACUAAAAAUACAAAAAUUAGCUGGGCAUGGUGGUGGGUGCCUGUAAUCCUAGCUAAUGGGGAGGCUGAGGGAGGAGAACUGCUUGAACCUGGGAGGCAGAGCUUGCAGUGAGCUGAGAUUGUGCCAUUGCACUCCAGCCUGGGUCACAAGAGCAAAACUCCAUCUCACAAAUUAAAUAAAUAAAUAAAUAAAAAUAAACUCUUUAGAAGAAAGAACAUAUAAACAAGAGUGGUAGUUUUAGACUAACAGAAACCAAUAUGGUAGCCACUAAGCACUUAUAGCUACUGAGCACUUAAAAUGUGGCUACUUUGUAUUGAAAUAUGCUGUAAGUAAAAUACACACUGGCUUUCAAGGCUUAUCAAAAACAGAAUGCAAAAUAUCUCAUUAAUAAUUGUAUAUUGAUUACAUGAAGUGAUAAUAUUUUGGAUAAAAUAUAUUGUUAAAAUGAAUUUCACCUGUUUUUAAUUUCCUCAAAUAUGACUACUAGAAAGUUUAGAAUUACAUAUGUGGCUCAAAUUAUAUAUUUUUUUCUUUUUCUUUUUUUUUGAGAGAGAGUCUCCCUCUGCUGUCCAGGCUGGAGUGCAGUGGCGCAAUCACAGCCCACUGCAGCCUUGACUCCCUGGGCUCAAGUGAUCCUCCCACCUCAGCCUCCCAAGUAGCUGGGACUACAGAUGUUCAUCACCACACCCAGCUAAUUCUUUUGAGGGGGAGGGGCGGGGAGUUAUGGAGGUCUUGCUGUGUUGCUCAGGCUAGUCUGAAACUCCUGGGCUCAAGCUAUCCUCCCACCUUGGGCUCCCAAAGUGCUGGGAUUACAGGCAUGCACCACCACACCCAGUCCCAUUUUCAUACCUCGAGGGGCUAUGUUCUAAGAAACAUAAUUUGGGAAAUACUGUUUCAAAGAUUAGUGUUAAUGAUUUAUUUUAUAAUUUAUUUAUUUUUCUUAGACCACAGAAUGAGAUUAUUUUUGAAAAUGGUGGGGAGGGUAGUAUUGAUCCUAGGAAUCAAGUAGUAUUUCCUCUCUUUUCAAAUUUAUAUCUUCAAACUCAGGUAUUUAUUGCCAUCAGUUAUCUGAUGGUAGCAGGUGAUAGAUGAAUCAUCCUUAUGGUCAUUUAAAGUUGCAGGAGGGCCGGGCACGGUCAUUUAAAGUGCGGGGUGCAGCAUGUAAUAAAUGCUCAAUAUAUUUUUUAAAAGAUCAUGAGGCCCCACGCUAUCUCUGCAUCCUGAACUUUCUGGUGCUACCUCCGGGAAGAUUUUACAUCUUAAGACAUGAGGGCACAACUGGAGUCAGAAAUGCCUGGGUUUGGCCCUGGGCGGUGGCUCAGUCUUGUAAUUCCAGCACUUUGGGAGGCCAAGGCGAGGGGAUCACCCGAGGUCGGGAGUUGGAGACCAGCCUGACCAACAUGGAGAAACCCCGUGUCUACUAAAAACACAAAACUAGCUGGAUGUGGUGGCACAUGCCUGUAAUCCCAACUACUCCGGAGGCUGAGGCAGGAGAAUUGCUUGAGGCAGGAGGUGGAGGUUGCGGUGAGCUGAGAUCGCGCCAUUGCACUACAGCCUGGGCAACAAGAGCAAAACUCCAUCUCAAAAAACAACAACAAAAAAAAUUAGCUGGGCGUGGUGGCGGGUGCUGUAAUCCCAGCUACUCAGGAGGCUGAAGCAGGAGAAUCACUUGAACCCAGAGGGCAGAGGUUGCAGCGAGACGAGAUCGCACCAUUGCACUCCAGCCUGGCCGAUGGAGUGAGACCCUGUCUCAAUAAAAUAAAAUGAAGUUGGAAAACCACUAAGCCACGGUCUAACUCAAACCCUUGAGUUUGCAGAUGAGCAAAUGAAGGUUUUGGGAGAUUAAGUGCCCUGUCCAAUGUCAGUGAGCACAUCAAUGUUUUACAAAUUGGAAAGCGGGGAAUAAAAAAGGUACUUAAAACAGGAAGUGGCCCAGAAACUAUCACCUACAUAAUCUCCUGUCCCUUAAGCUUCCCUCCUCCAUCAUUUGUUUACCUGUAAGAGAAAAUUACAUUUUCUAAGUGCGCCAUGAAUAUAGAUAUACUCCUUUCAUCCAAACAGAAACAGAGAAGAGAUUUACUACAGCAUCAAGCAGCACCUCAGAACUCUUUCAGCCUUCCUGGCGAAAAUGGACAAAGUUGCCCGGGCGCCGUGGCUCACGCCUGUAAUCCCAGCACUUUGGGAGGGUGAGGCGAGUGGACCACCUGAAGUCAGUAGUUUGAGACCAGCCUGGCCAACAUGGCAAAACCCUGUCUCUACUAAAAAUAACAAAAAUUAGCUGGGCGUGGUGGCGGGUGCCUGUAAUCCCAGCUACU
rnacentral:lncRNA from 1 species